rnacentral:rRNA from 1 species
UACCAGCACCCCGAGUGGUCGGGACGUUUUAUUGGGCCUAAAGCAUCCGUAGCCGGUUCUACAGGUCUUCCGUUAAAUCCAACUGCUUAACAGGUGGGCUGCGGAAGAUACUAUAGAGCUAGGAGGCGGGAGAGGCAAGCGGUACUCGAUGGGUAGGGGUAAAAUCCGUUGAUCCAUUGAAGACCACCAGUGGCGAAGGCGGCUUGCCAGAACGCGCUCGACGGUGAGGGAUGAAAGCUGGGGGGAGCAAACCGG